UCCACUGGAGUCUAAGCUUGAUUCUCUGACACUGUUCUCUCAUUCUUCUAAAUCACAAUAUCCAACCUUUUGGCUUCCCUGGGCCCACUGGAAGAAGUGUCUUGGGCCAGACAUAAAAUACAUUGACACUAAUGACAGCUGAUAAGCUUAAAAAAAAAAAAGUCCAUGCAUAACUUUUGUUCUAUCACCACCACAGAAGGUCCAUGCAUAAUUUUUAUCAGCCACCACAGAUAAGCAAAGAGAGUCCUCAUAUUGAAAGGGUUAGAUACCACUGCUCUAAAGGCUAACAAAUGGAAUGAAUGAGGCAAAGGCAACCUCCUCUUUUCAGGAAAAUCUGAAAUUAUUCUUCCUUUUAUCCAUCAGACUAGCCUAAAGGAAAUCUGCUCUCUUCUUGGAAUGACAUUUCACGCAACAUUCCAUUUCUCUUGUGUUCAUCUGGACACUCAGAACUGCUGAAAACUGAUAAAUUAUGGCAACCAUAUUAAAUAUUGCUGAGCUCAGGCCAACGACUUCUUGAAAAGAGAGCAACGAGUCUAUUUGUAGUGACUGGAAUCUUUCAAUAUAGCUAUUGAUAACUAACACCCUGGGCAUAGUGUGUCUCCAACUUAUAGGUCCUGGAGUGGUUGCGAAUUAAGAGACACAAAAGAGGCAAUGAGAUCUCCCUCAAGCGCAGCCUCAGAAGAAUUGGAAAUGCAUAGGAGAGAUUUAUAAAACACAAGGCUGGCCCCCUACUCCAUCCUUAAAACAUCCAUACUUUUAGCCAUGGGUAAGUUGAUUUAACUAUCCCCAUAACCUUUUCUCCUCCCGACCCCCAUCCUUCUCCAGGGACCUACUGGAAGGAAGGAAAUUUGGUAGAUCUAUGUGCUGAGAGAUAAGUGGCCAUGUAAUGAGGUAGGUUAACAACAAUUGUUCCUGUAUAUAUUGUUGGCACACACAAAUGUGUUUGAUUUGGAGUAGGAACUGAUAACUUCUUUGGAUUUGAAUUUCUUCUGUCAGCAAUAGGAGAGAAGUUCAGUCAGAUGAUUUCUAUCUGUGGGAAUCCAACUUUGACUUGUGGUGAUCCUACCCCUUCCUCAGUCUUUUACAAAUUAAGUGGCCUCCUCACCUGAGACGAGUAGAACUGUAUGCACAGUAAGGCACCAGGACGGAUCUAGACUGGCAAAGAAGUGGUGAGAGAAAUGGGGAAAGGGUUAGGGAAGAAGGGAGAGGACUCUCAACUACAGUCAUAGUGAGACCUUGAGUGCCUCUGCGUUAGUCCUUCCUCUUCCUCUACUCCUUGUGUCUCAGCUGAAGGGCAAACUUCAGGGACAAUCUCAUUUUGUUUCUACCACUGUUCAGGGUCCCACCUUGCGACCCUCUCCUGAGAGGUUGUCCACAACUCUGUCCCACCCCCGUUCUCCAUCUUCUUCCGCCAGAUCUGGGGCUGGGGCAUUGGAGAGGGGAAAGAGGAAACGUCGUGGCUGGCAGGGUAGGAAGGGAUGCGUGUCCAGGUGAGAAAGAGGUGUGACGUGCAGAUGGGAUGCCCGCCGCUAUGACGCUGCCGAGACCCGCGGUGACUGCGUCAGAGUUUCACCCGGGGAGGUGAGCAGCAGCGGGACGGGGGAACGGCGGGGUAGCCAAGCAACGCCGGACGCGCUGACGUCGCCGGGGCGGCAAAACGUCCGCCCGGGCCCGAGGCGGGCGGAGGCAGCUGUGGUUACGUGCGGGGGGCCGGUGACGCAGUCGCGGGGCGCUGGGACGCGGCUUGCGGAGCCGGCCGGCGAGCGCAGGCCCCAGGCUCGGGCGCGGCGGCGGGACAGCACCUACCUUCCCGGCUUCGGGUCCGGGAGUGCGGGGCGCGGAGCCGCCGGAGCGCUGCCUCCCUCCUUCCUCCUCCCCUCGCCCCCGCCCCGCGGCGCGACACACAAUACUCGCCGGAAGCGGAAGCCGCGCCGAGGCUCGUGUCAGUGGAAGCUGGGGUGUCGGCGGGCGGCCGCGGCCGGGUCUAGCGGUGCCUGCGGAAGAAGGAGGAGGAGGGCUGGCGAUGAGAAGCAGCAGGGGGAAUCAAGGGCAAGAAGGGACCCAGAGGGGCAGGUGGCUGAGAUGCUGGCGUCCAGGUGACCCGAGGAAUCCUCUGGAGAUACAGGCCCGCGCAUGCGCGUGCUCGAGCGCUGAAGCCCAUUGCCCGCAGGGCGCUGGACUGGCGCCCCGGCCGGCGAGGCUGUCUAGUCCAGGCUCCAGGCCCCGGCUCUGGCCAGGCGCCGCCGCCUCCCGGUGCAGCUGAAAGUCGACGAAGAGGGCGGGGCGGGGGCGGCUUGUGGACUUCCACACUUUUCCUCUCUUCGGGCCAGUCUGGGGAGAGGGUGGCUAGCUGUGGCGGCGGCCAAUUACGUGGCGGACCUGCGGGGCUAAGCUGGCACGUCACUUCCGACUAGUGGAGUUUUUAGCCUUUUAACAUUCAAGGAUUAGGUAAGUUCUCCCCGCGGUAGACUUCAAAUACUCUUUGUCCUGCCCCUGCUUGGCGAAAUUUACCGAAAUUAUCUACCUAUCCCGCUGGAGUGGGAGCCGGGGGAGAGCUGGAACCGCGUCUCUGCUGCUCACCUUUGUGUCCUUAGCUCCUUCGCAUGGGGUCCGACCGCAACACGUGCGCUGGAUAAACGCUUGUUAACUGGGUAAAAGUCUUGCAGUGAAAAACCCGAGGACCCUUACCGCAAGUGUCUUUUGCUCCCAGCUACUGAUACUGGAUUCCACUCGUGAUUCUCCCUUUCUUAGCGCAUUCAUGAUAUAGACAUCAGUCUCUGAGCUGGAGGAGGACAAAGGCAGCGGUCCUGUGAAUUCUAUGCUCUAGCUUGGGUUAAGGGAUUUGGAAUUGCACUUGUUUCAGAGAGCUCCCUCUUUGCCCACUAGCAGGGCAUUAGCUGGUGCUGAAGACAGUGGCUGCUUGGCGAGCCUGGAUCUCCAAGUGACCCCCUCAGCAACUCCUGAUGAACAGGACUGAAGCCAAUAUUAAAGCAAGUCAACCAAAGGUUCUCUGGUGUAGACAAGACAGCAAAAGGACAGACUACCUUGUGGAACCUAGCAUUGUUCUCCUUCUGCAGCACUAAGUAACAUUUGUUCUCCGUUAAGAUCUUUGCAAACCACACACAAGAAUUGCUGGUCAUCCUGCCAAUAGAUGCUGCUCACAGAACCAAAUUUCCUGUGCUGAAUUGUCACUCAUGGGCUUGAGAGUAGGAGACUGGAGACCAAGGUGGCUAGAAUCCAGUUGGGCCUGAUGUCUCCCUGUUGAAAGGGCUCCUUGUGGAAUGAAUAGCACAUGGCUCCUGUGGUGGAUCUGAUAGUGGCAUAGCACCAAGUGAUGCAGGCCUGCCAGGGGCCACAGACACAGAAGAUGCUCCCGGGGUCCCCCAUGUACUCCAGACACACUGCAGGCCACCUCUCCCAGCAGGUUGCCAGUCAUGGGCCCCAUCAUCAUGACUUCUGUCCAAGGUACUGUGUGCAGAAAUGUGAUUGAGAUUCAAGUCAGGGCCUCUCUGCCCUUUUCCCUCCAGAAACAAAACCAAGAUAAUUUAUCCUGAACACGGUGAAAAAAGGAAGGGAGGGAGGAGAAAAAGUCCGGGUCUCACCUGGGAUUCUCUGUCUCCUGCAACAUGAAGGAUUUAGCCUGGGAGGAGGUGGUGAGAACUCUGGGAGAGAAAAAAGAAGGAAAGAAUAGUUUUACCCAUGCUGAAGUUAAUUUAAACCUUCACCUAGAGAAGCAAAAAAAAAAAACCCACACUUUCCCAUUUUGUGCCUCCCUUCCUAGAGUUUUAGCCAAAGGUUUAGCUAAGUAAUUGGUUUUACCAGCGCACUCACUCCUCCUAUCCCAAGUCUGUUUGACUCCCUCCCCAUCAUCCUCCUCACCUCUUUUCAGGCAGGGUGGGGAUAGCAGCAGGAGGAGAUUUUGGGAGCCUGGCAACUCCUGCAAGGACCGCAGGACAGCCCCUCUGUGGGGAUGCGUGGUGCCCCAUCUGCCGCCCUUCUGAAGAAUGCACUGCCUUCACUUUUUACUGUGUUAGAGUCCAUCCAGACUGUUCUAUCCAAAAAAGUUUCUUUUUCCCCCACAGGCAAUCAGGAAAUGAUUCCUUUCCCGACUGCUUCUGUCUAGUGCCUGGGAAUCUUGAGUCAAUCCCUCAGUAAGUCAGUGACUAGGGAAAUCCCUCUCUGAGCCUCCCAGUUCAUGUUGCUUAGGGAACCUGAUAUUUUCGUGAAACCUGCCUACACAUGGGCAGCCCAACAGCAGAACAAAUGGUGGUGACCAAAGUGAACAAAGAAGUAUAGUUGUGCCAGCUUCGUAGUUGCCCAUGUGGACAAGUCAGCAGGAUCAGGACACGAGGAAGAGUAAAUGUGAGACAGUCAAUGUGACUUCUGCGAUAAACAGAUUUUUAAACCCCGAAAUUUUGCAAAAUUUUGGUGAAACCUGAACUUUCUUCGUUGCAUAUACUGGCACUAUCUGUACCAUCAUACAACUGUCUCACAUUAAAGCUAUUUUUCUUGGGCACUGAUGAGUAAGGUUGGUAUAAGUUCCUCAGAUCAACAAAAACCCAUUUUCCUGUAAGUCUUACAUUUAGUAUUUAAGGAACUAAAACUUAAAUACAUUUUGUGAAAUGGUUGACACUUCACUGAUAAUGAUUUAUUGCUUGGAUUAAUAAAUUUUCCAAAAGUUGUCUUAUGUAGAAUAUGGUUUGCAACCAGCAGAACCAUUAAUCUAUACUGCAAUGAUAUGCACUAUGUAUAAUUGUUUAAAAGCCUCUACUUAAUGAUGUAAAAUGCUCUAUUUAAUUACACAUUUGGGUAAACUGUAUACUAACAUCUGAUGGCAUUUUUCCACUGUUUGUUGCUUUUUUCAAAUACUUUAUUGUACAAAGCUGUUCUUAAUAUUUUUCAAGUUUUUUUCUUUGAAUUUUGCUAAUGUUUUCCUUGAAUUAUGAGCACUGACAGAAUGUGCUUAGCACUUUUGGCUAUUCACACAGCUUUUGAGCAUGAUUUGCAUCCAAUAUUUACAUUGCUAGCAAUAAUAAGCCAUCUGUGAGUUUUGUCAAAAGUUAUUGGGGAUUUUUUAAAUUUUAGAAAUGCAAAUUAUUGUUUCUUUGAACUAACUCUUAUGCAGUUGCAAAGGCAUUUCCAGUUGUUAUAGUUUGUGUACAAUAUCAGGUGUUCCAGAUUAUGAUUCAUUAUUAAUAUCAUUGCUUCCUUGUUCCCUCUGAGGUCCAGAAGAUUCAUGUUUACAAUAUUUAGAAACAAUGUUAAAAAGGUAUCCAAAGUUUGUCACUUUAUUAUUAGUUUGUUCUUAAUAUUCUGUUUAAGUUUUUGAAUUCAUAGAUAUCAAAACGCUGCACAAUUAUGAUUUCCACAGGAAUAACAACACACUAACAAUAAGAACCAAAAACAGCAAAUAGGCUGCCUACAAGUUUUGACAAUAUUAGGAUAAUGAUAAUGACAGUUUUUCUAAAUCUCACAGUAAAGAAUGCAGCAACCCAGCAACACUGCUACCUGUGGCCUCAGGCUGCAGUGUCAGCUCUUCCCUGGGUCUCCAGCCUGCCAGUCUAACCUGAAAAUUAUGUACUUGCCAGCCCCCACAGUCACGUGAGUGAACUGGCCCAGGCUGGUCACCAGGGUCAGUUUCUCUGUGUGUCAUUAAUUCAUUCAGUCUUCAGCAGUCUCUUUGGAGCUGAGAUGUACCUACCAUCUGCCUUUUGGGUGCUUAGGGUGGAGAACCAGAAAAGUAUAACCUAGUGUGUAUCCUCAAAGAGCUAACAAUAUGGGGUGGUACCUAUAGGUCUGGAAACACUUUACUGACUCUGUGAGGCAUACCAGGAGACGUCAGAGAACAGUCCCUCCUCAAAUGCCAAAUGAGAUGCAGAAGAAAUAGUUUGCUCAAGUUCAUGGGCCAGAUAUCCCAGUGGUCAGGGAGUUUCAUGAAUGAGAUGGAACUUUGCAUGGAACCCGAGGGAUGUGUAUGAUUUGAGUAGAUGAAGAAAAUGAGACUUUCCAAGCAGCUAGAAGUUAGGGAGCAGCAAGAUGUGUGGUGGGAUUGAGCACAGUUGGUUCAGAGGAUAGACUGCAGUUUUAAUAAUUUGUAGUAAAUAUCUCCCAACUGUUUGGCACUAUUGGAGCAAGUUCUUGAAUGCCAAAUGAAGGCAUAAAUCAGUAAGAGGCAUAAUAAAAGGCUGAGCAGUGCUUGGCUUUUUACGAACUGAUCCUGAUAGGAGCAGCUGUUCAACAAAGUUGCCAGGUCACCGUUACAUAGUCCCUGCCUUCUAGGGGCUCACUGCCUACUGGGAGAGACAGUCUGAAAGUUGGUGGAGCAUGUAACUGUUGGAUGAGGAGUUUGAGCCUGUGGACUGUGGGACCCCCGAGGAGGGUGUGGCUACUCUAGGCAGAACAAUCCCACAGUUUAUUUAUAUUUAACCUUGAAAUUCAUUAGAGGAUUUUUCAGCAGAGGUUUGGUACUUGUUAAUGUUAAGGUUUGCAUUCUCUAGAACCUCAAGGAAAGCUGUACCGUGCAUAAUGUACCCUCUUAUGUUAAUGUUGUGUACUGUGAUCCUGUUUCAGGGACUUGCACUUAGGAAUCUGUUACAGUGAGCACAGAAGCAGACCUGUGGGCUCAUAGUCUUCACCCCCCACCCAUAUAUACAAGAUGAACAGAGUGGAGGUUAAACAACUUGACUAAACAACACAGUUCAUGGUAAAGCCCAAGACUGUACCUGCCCAUCCACUGCCUUUUCCAUGUAUCCUGGAACUGAGCAUAGACCUCUUCCCAGGCAGAGCUGACAGCAAGUAAAGGAGAUCAUAAUCAGGGGACCAAACAACUUUGUCUAAAGUGUGAAUGUCACCUAAGGAGAAGCUGUGAGAUCAGAAGGGUGGGGCAGAGGAGCAGACACCAUGAGGGAGAGUCCUUGGGGGUACAUCUGCCAGACUGACACUGUCUGGCCUGGGCAGUGGAGGGGCUAGCAGGAACCACAGGUACUGGUGGUGUGGCUACUACCGUUACAACUGCCUGUGCUUGGACAUGGACCCUCUGCAAUAUGCGGCAGUUUCAUUCAUUGCCCCCUACAUUCUACACCAAGUAGAAAUGGAAGGCAAUUGGAUACUUCACAGACAAGAUCUAAGUGGAGAAGGAAUGCGUCCUGUGGCUGCAGAGAUCCUUGGAGCUUGGAGGGGAGAGCUUGAGCCCCACUGAUGAUGACCUCCCACAGCUCGCCAACUCAGCCCUCCCUAAGUCCCCAUCGGGGGCCAAUUCUCACUCUGGGGUUGGGGGGACUCCACCAUAGCUCAUCCAUCAUAGGGAUGUUGGUAUCUACUGUGGGUUGGGUAGGGCCGAUGUGCUGAGGAUGGCUCCCCCACAAGCAAGAGAUGUGGAUUUGGGGAGCUUCCCAUCUUGUGUUGAAGGAACAUAACUCAGAAUAAUAAGAGCCAACUAUAACAAACCCACAGCCAACAUCAUACUGAAUGGGCAAAAGCUGCAGGCAUUCCCCUUGAAAAGUGGCACAGGAUAAGGAAGCCCUUUCUCACCACUCCUAUUCAAUAUAGUGUUGAAAGUCCUGAUCACAGCAGUCAGGCAACAGAAAUAAUAAAGGGCAUCCAAAUAGGAAGAGAGGAAGUCAAACUAUCCUUGUUUGCAGACAGUAUGAUUCUAUAUCUAGAAAACCCCAUAGCCUCAGCCCAAAAGGUCCUUCAUCUGAUAAUUUCAGCAAAGUUUCAGGAGACAAAAUCAGUGUACAAAAAUCACUAACAUUCCUAUACACAGUCGCCAAGCCAAGAGCCAAAUCAGGAGCACAAUCCCAUUCAUAAUUGCCACAAAAAAGAAUAAAAUACCCAGGAAUGCAGCUAACCAAGGAAGUAAAGGAUCUCUACAAUGAGAAUCACAAACGCUGCUCAAAGAAAUCAGAGAUGACACAAACAAAUGGAAAAACUUUCCAUGCUCAUGGCUAGGAAGAAUCAAUAUCAUUAAAGUGGCCAUACUACCCAAAGCAAUUUAUAGAUUCAAUGCUAUUCCUAUCAAACUAUCAAUUACAUUUUUCACAGAACUAGAAAAAACUUAAAAUUCAUAUGGAACCAAAAAGCCUGAGUAGUCAAGGCAAUCCUAAACAAAAAGAACAAAGGUGGAGGCAUCACAUUACCUAACUUCAAACUACAGGGCUACCAUGACCAAAACAGCAUGGUACUGGUACAAAAGCAGACACACAGACCAGUGGGACAGAAUAGAGAGCCCAAAAAUAAGGCCACAAACCUACAGCCAUCUGAUCUUCAACAAAGUUGACAAAAACAAGCAAUGGGGAAAGGUCUCCCUAUUCAAUAAAUGGUGCUGGGAUAACUGGCUGGCCAUAUGCAGAAGAUCGUAACUGGACCCCUUUUACUAUGUACAAAAAUUAAGAUGGUUUAAAGAGUUAAAACCCAAAAUUAUAAAAAUCCUGAAGAUAACUUAGGCAAUACCAUUCUGGACAUAGGAACUGGCAAAUAUUUCAUGAUGAAGACACCAAAAGCAAUUGUAACAAAAGCAAAAAUGGACAAAUUGGAUUUAAGAGCUUUUUCAUAGCAAAAUAAACAACAGGGCAGACAAUCUACCAAAUGACAGAAAAUUUUUGCAAACUAUGCAUCUGACAAGGGGCUAAUAUCUAGCAUCUAUAAGGAAUUUAAACACAGUUACAGGAAAAAAAAAACCCACUCCAUUAAAAAAUGGGCAAAGGACAUGAACAGACACUUUUCAAAAAAGACAUACAUACAGCCAACUAGCGUGUUAAAGAAAACCUCAAUUAUCACUGAUCAUUAGAGAAAUGCAAAAUCAAAACCAUGAUGAGAUAUCAUCUGCCAGUCAGGAUGGCUACAAAAAAGUAAAAAAAUAAUAGAUGUUGGUGAGGUUAUGGAGAAAAGGAACUUAUACACUUGUUAGGAGUGUAAAUUAGUUCAAUCACUGUGGACAGCAGUGUGGUGAUUCCUCAGAGAGCUAAAAACAACUACCAUUUGACUCACCAAUCCCAUUACUGGAUAUUUACCUAAAGGAAUAUAAAUCAUUCCACCAUAAAGACACAUGCAAGUGUAUGUUCAUUGCAGCACUAUUAACAGUAACAAAGCUGGGCACAGUGGCUCACCUCACGACUGUAAUCCCAGCACUUUGGGAGGCUGAGGUAGGCGGAUCACCUGAGGUCGGCAGUUUGAGACCAGCCUGACCAACAUGGAGAGACCCCAUCUCUACUAAAAAUACAAAAUUAGCCAGGUGUGGUGGCUCAUGCCUGUAAUCCCAGCUACUUGGGAGGCCAAGGCAGGAGAAUUGCUUGAACCCAGGAGGCAGAGGUUGCAGUGAGCCGAGAUCACACCAUUGCACUCUAGCCUGGUGAAGGAGCAAGACUCCAUCUCAAAAAAAAAAAAAAAAAAGAAAGAAAGAAAAAUACACAUUCAGAGGAGACAAAAAAUAAAAAACAAUGAUGCAUGCCCACAGGAUCUAGAAAAUAACUUCUUAAGGGCAAAUCUAGGAGUUAUUGGCCUUAAAGAAGAGAUAGAGAAAGAGAUAGGAAUAGAAAGUUUGUUGAAAGGGAUAAUAACAUAGAACUUCCUAAACCUACAGAAAGAUAUUUAUAUCCAAGUACAAGAAGGUUAUAGAACACCAGGCCAAUUUAACCCAAAGAUUACCUCAAGGCAUUUAAUAAUCAAACUCCCACAGGACAAGGGUAAAGAAAGGAUCCUAAAAGCAGCAAGAGAAAAGAAACAGAUAACAUACAAUGGAGCUCCAAUACAUCUGGCAGUAUAUUUUUCAGUGGAAACCUUACAAGCCAGGAGAGAGUGACAUGACAUAUGUUAAAGUGCUGAAGGGAAAAAACCUUUUACCCUAGAAUAGUAUAUCCAGCAAAAAUAUCCUUCAAACAUGAAGAAUAAACAAAGACUUCCCCAGACAAACAAAAGCUGAGGGAUUUCAUCAACACUAGACUGGUCCCAUAAGAAACGCUUAAGGGAGUACUUUGGUCAGAAAGAAACAGACAUUAAUGAGCAACAAAGAAUCAUCUAAAGGUAAAAAACUCACUGUUAAGAGUAAGUACACAGAAAAACCCAAAGUGUGAUAACAUUGUAACUGUGGUGUGUAAGUAGAAAGAAUAAAUGAUAAACCAAUCAAAAAUAGUAACUACAACUUUUCAAGACCAGUCAGAAAAAUAAGAUAAAAUUAGAAACAACAAAAAGUUAAAAAGUGGGGGGAUGAAGUUAAGAUGUAGAGUUUUUAUUAGUUUUUUGUUUGUUAAUGCAAACAGUGUUACCAGGUUAAAAUAAUGGGUUACAAAAUAGUAUUUGUAAUCCUUAUGGUAACCUCAAACCUAAAAACAUACACUGGAUACAUAAAAAAUAAAAAGCAAAAACCUAAAUCAUAUCACCAGAGCAAACUACCUUCCCUAAAGGAAGACAGGAAGAAAAGAAAGAAGAAGACCACAAAACAACCAGAAAACAAAUAAAUAACAAGGCAGGAGUAAGUCUUUACUUAUCGAUAAUACAUUGAAUGGAAAUAUGGACUAAACUCUCCAAUCAAAAGACAUAGACUGGCUGAAUGAAUGGAGAAAACAAGACCCAUUGAUCUGUUGCCUACAAGAAACACACUUAAACUAUAAAGACACACAUAGGCUGAAAGUAAAGAGUUGGAAAGAGUUAUUCCAUGCCAAUGGAAACCAGGAAAAAGAGAAGGAGUAUUGAUUUUGAUACAAAAACUAUGAGACAAAUAAAGUCACUAUACAAUGAUAAAGGGGUUAAUAUGGUUUCCAUUUGUGCCCCACCCAAAUUUCGUGUUCUAUUGUAAUCCUCAAUGUUGGAGGUGGGGCCUGGUGGGACGUGAUUAGAUCAUGGGGGUGGAUCUUUCAUGACUAAUUCAGCACCAUCUUCUUAGUGCUGUUCUCAUGAUAGUGAGUUCUUCUGAAAUCUGGUUGCUUAAAAGUGUGUAGCACCUCUCCACACCACCCGCUUGCCUUGGUCUACUCCUGCUAUGUAGAUGCUUGCUCCCACUUUGCAUUAUUCCAUGAGUAAAAGCUCCCUCAGGCCUUCCCAGAAUCAGAUGCCGCUAUGCUUCCUGAACAGCCUGUGGAACUAUGAGCCAAUUCAACCUCUUUUCUUCAUAAAUUAACAAGUCUUGGGUAUUUCUUUAUAGCAGUGUGAGAACAGAAUAAUACAGAAAAUUGGUAAAGAGGAGUGAGGCAUUGCUAGAAAGAUACCUGAAAAUGUGGAAACAGCAGUGGAACUGGGAAAUAGACAGAGGUUGGAAGAGUGUGGAGGGCUCCGAAGAUAGGAAGAUGAGGGGAAGUUUGGAAUUUCUUAGAGAUUUGUUAAAUUGUUUUGACCAAAAUACUGAUGGUGAUAUGGACAAUGAAGUCCAGGCUGAGGAGGUCUCAGAUGGAGAUGAGGGACUUAUUGGGACCUGGAGUGAAGGUCACUUUUGUUAGGACAUUGUGGUUGGAGACAUUGUGCCCCUGCCCUAGGAAUCUGUGGAACUUUGAACUUGAGAGCGAAGAUUUAGGGUAUCUGGCAGAAGAAAUUUCUAAGCAGCAAAGCGUUCAAGACGUGGCCUGGCUGCUUCUGGUAGUCUGUGCUCAUAUUUGUGAGCAAAGACAUGACAAGAAACUGGAACUUAUAUUUAAAAAGGAAGCAGAGUGUAAAAGUUUGGAGAAUUUGCAGCCUGGCCAUGUUGUAGAAAAGAAAAAAACCAUUUUCUGGAGAGGAAUUCAAGCUAGCUGCAGAAAAUUGCAAGUAACAAGGAGCAAAAUGUUGAUAGCCAAGAUAGUGGGAAAAACACCUUGAAGGCAUUUCAGAUACCUUGGGGGCAGCCUCUCCCAUCACAGGCCCAAAGGCCUAGGAGGGAAGGAUGGUUUCCUGGGCCAGGCUCAGGGUCCUGCUGCCCUGCACAACCUCAGGAAACUGCUCUCCAAAUCCCAGCUGCUCCAGCUCCAGCUUCAGCUCAAAGGGCCCCAGGUAUAGCUCAGGCUGCUGCUCCAUAGGAUGCAAGUUAUAAGCCUUAGUGGCUCCCGUGUGGUGUUAAAUUAAGCCUGUAGGUGCACAGAGUGCAAGAAUUGAGGCUUGGGAGCCUCCAACUAGAUUUCAGAGUAUGUGUGGGAAAGCCUGGAUGUCCAGGCAGAAGCCAGCUGCAGGGACAGAGCCCUCAUGGAGAACCUCUACUAGGGUAGUGUGGAGGGGAAAUUUGGGGUUGGAGUUCCCACACAGCUUCCCCUCUGGUGUACUGCCUAGUGGAGCUGUGAGAAGACAGCCACUGUCCUCCAGAUUCCAGGAUGAUAGAUCUGCCAAUGACAGCUUGCACUGUACAACUGGAAAAGCCACAGGCAGUCAAUGCCAGCCCGUGAAAGCAGUGACAGUGGCUUACCCUGCAAAGUCCCAGGGGCUGAGCUGCCCAAGGCCUUGGGAGCCCACCCCUUGCACCAGUGUGCCCUGGAUGUGAGAUAUGGAGUCAAAGGAGAGUAUUUUGGAGCUUUAAGAUUUAAUGACUACCUGCUGGGUUUCAGACUUGCAUGGGUCCAGUAGCCCCUUUCUUUUGGCCAAUUUCUCACUUUUGGAAUGGGAGUGUUUACCCAAUUCCUGUACCCCCACUGUAUGUUGGAAGUAACUAACUGUUUUUUUAUUUUGUAAGCUCACAGGUGGGAGAGACUUGCCUUGUCUCAGGUUGAGACUCUGGACUUUGGACUUUUGAAUUAAUGCUGGAAUGAGUUAAGACUUUGAGGGACUGUUGGGAAGAUAUAACUGUAUUUUGCAGUAUGAGAAGGACAUGAGAUUUGGGAGACACCAGAGGUGGAAUAAUAUGAUUUGGAUCUGCAUCCCCACCAAAAUCUCAUGUUCAAUUGUAAUCCUAAAUUUUGGAGGUUGAGCCUGGUGGAAGAGGAUUGGAUAAUGGGGGUGGUUUCUCAUGGUUUAACACCAUCCCCCUGGGUGCUGUUCUCAUGACAGUGAGUGAGUUAUUGUGAGAUCUGAUUGUUUAAAAGUGUGUGCCACCUCCUCCCACUUUCCUCCUGCUCCAGCCAUGUAAGACAGGCUUGCCUCCCCUUCACCUUUUGUCAUGAUUGUAAGUGUUCUGAGGCCUCCCCAGCCAUGCUUCCUGUACAGCCUGCAGAACUGUGAGCCAAUUAAACCUCUUUUCUCUAUAUAUUACCCAGUCUCGGGUAUUUCUUUAUAGCAGUGCAAGAAUAGACUAAUACAGGGUUCAAUUCAGCAAGAGGAUAUAACAAAUAUAAAUAUAUAUGCACUCAACACUGCAGCACCCAGAUAUAUAAAGCAAAUACGAUUAGAGCUAAAGAGAGAGAGUGACCCCAAUACAAUAAUAGCUGGAGACUUCAACACCACAUUUUCAGCACUGGACAGAUCUUCCAGACAGAAAAUAAAAAAGAAACAUCAGACUUAAUCUGCACUGUAGAUCAAAUGGAUCUAAUACAUACUUGCAGAACAUUUUAUCCAAUGGCUGCAGAAUACACAUUCUUUUUUAGCACAUGUAUCAUUCUCAAGGAUAGACCAUAUGUUAGGUCACAAGUCUUAAAACAUUAAAAAAGUUGAAUACCAUCAAGCAUCUUCUCUGACCACAGUGGAAUACAACUAGAAACUAAUAACAAGAGGAAUUUUUGAAACUACAAAUACAUGAAAAUUAAACAAUAUGCUCCUGAAUGACCAUUGAGUCAAUGAAGAAAUUAAGAAGGAAAUUGAACAAUUUCUUGAAACAAAUGAUAAAGGAAACACAACAUACCAAAACCUAUGGGAUACGGCAAAAGCAGUACUAAGAGGCAAAUUGAUAGCUAUAAGUGCCUACAUGAAAAAAGAGGAAAAACUUCAAAUAAGCAAUUUAACAAUGAACCUUAACCAGAAAAGCAAGAGCAAAACAAACACAAAAUUAGAAGAAAACAAAUAAUAAAAAUUAGAGCAUAAAUAAAUAAAAUUGAAAUAAAAAUCAAUGCAAAAGAACAAUGAAACAAAAAGUUGCUUUUUUUCAAAAGUUAAACAAAACUGACAAGCCUUUAGCAAGACUGAGAAAAAAGAGACAAGAUACAAAUCAGAAAUGAAAAAGACAUUACAACUGACACUGCAGAAAUUCAAAGGAUCAUUAGGGGCUACUAUGAGCAACUCUAUGCCAAUAAAUUGGAAAAUCUAGAAGAAAUUGACAAUUCCUAGACACAUACAACCUACUGAGACUGGACCAGGAAGAAAUCCAAAACCUGAACAGACUAAUAACAAGUAACAAGGUUGAAGCCAUAAUAAAAAGUCUCCCACUAAAGAAAACCAAGGACCCGAUGGCUUCACUGUUGAAUUCUACCAAACAUUUAAAGAAGAACUAAUACCAAUCCCACUCAAGCUAUUGAAAAAUAGAGGAGGAGAGAAUAUUUCCAAAGUCAUUCUAGGAGACCAGUAUCACCCUGAUACCAAAACCAGACAAAGACACAUCAAAAAAAGAAAACUGCUGGCCAAUUUCUCUGAUGAAUAUUGAUGCCAGAAUCCUCAGCAAAAUAUUAGCAAACUAAAUUCAACAAUACAUUAAAAAGAUCAUUCAUCAGGGUCGGGUGCAGUGGCUUAAGCCUCUAAUCCCAGCACUUUGGGAGGCCGAGGUGGGCAGAUCACCUGAGGUCAGGAGUUCAAGACCAGCCUGACCAACAUGGUGAAACCUCGUCUCUACUGAAAAUACAAAAUUAGCCGAGUGUGGUGGUGCAUGCCUGUAAUCCCAGCUACUCAGGAGACUGAGGCAGGAGAAUCACUUGAACCCAGGAGGUGGAGGUUGCAGUGAGCUGAGAUUGUGGCACUGCACUCCAGCCUUGGUGACAGAGUGAGACUCCAUUAAAAAAAAAAUCAUUUAUCAUGACCAAGUGGGAUUUAUCCCUGGAAUGCAAGGAUGGUUCAACACAUGCAAAUCAAUCAAUGUAAUACAUCAUAUCAAAAAGAAUGAUUAAAACCAUAUGAUUAUUUCUAUUGAUGCUGAAAAAGUAGUUUAUAAAAUCCAACAUCCCUUCAUGAUAAAAACCCUCAAAAAACUGUAUAAAAGAAAUAUACCUCAACGUAAUAGCCAGAUAUGACAGACCCACAGCUAGUAUCAUACUGAAUGGGGAAAAAGUGAAAGACUUUCCUAUAAGAUCUGGAACACAACAGGGAUGUUCACUGUCACCACUGUUAUUCAACAAAGUACUGGAUGUUCUAGCUAGAGCGAUCAGACAAGAGAAGAUAUAAAGGCCAUCCAAACUGGAAAGGGAGAAGUUAAAUUACCCUAGUUUGCAGAUGAUAUGAACUUAUAUUUGGAAAAAACCUAAAGGCUCCACAGGAAAACUAUUAGAAUCAAUAAAUUCAGUAAAGUUGCAGGACACAAAAUCAACAUAUAAAAACCAGUAGCAUUUCUAUAUGUCAACAGUGAACAAUUUGAAAAAUUUUAAAUUUAAGAAGGUAAUUUCAUUUACAAUAGCCACACAUAAAAUUAAAUACCUAGGAAUUAACCAAAAAUGUGCAAGAUAUCUAUGAGGAGAAUUAUAAAACAUUGAUGAAAGAAAUUGAAGAGGACACAAAAAAAAUGGAAAAAAUUCCAUCUUUAUGGAUUGGAAGAAUCAAUAUUGUUAAAAUGUCCAUACUACCCAAAGCAAUCUACAGAUUUAAUGCAAUCCCUAUCAAAAUACCAAUAAUAGUCUUCAGAGAAAUAGAAAAAAAAAUCCCAAAAUUUAUAUGAAAACACAGAAUGCCCAGAAUAGCCAAAAUUAUAUUAAGCAAAAAGAUCAAAACUGGAGGAAUCACAUUACCUGACUUCAAAUUAUGCUACAGAGCUAUAAUCACCAAAACAGCAUGGUACUGACAUAAAAACAGACACAUAGUCCAACAGAACAGAAUAGAGAACCUAGAAACAAAUCCACACACUCACAGGGAACUCAUUUUUGACAGAGUUGCCAAGUACUUAUACUGGAGAAAAGAAAAGACAGUCUCUUCAAUGAAAUGGUGCUGGGAAAACUGGAUAUCCAUAUGCAGAAGAAUGAAACUAGACCCCUACCUCUCACUGUAGACAAAAGUCAAAUCAAGGCUAGGCAUGGUGGCUUACACCUGUAAUCUCAGCACUUUGGGAGGCUGAGGCAGGCGUAUCACGAGGUGAAGAGAUUGAGACCAUCCUGACCAACAUGGUGAAACUCACCCCCCCCCACCCACUAAAAAUACAAAAAUUAGCUGGGCGUGAUGGCAUGUGCCUGCAGUCCUAGCUACUCAGGAGGCUGGGGCAGGAGAAUCGCUUGAACCCAGGAGGUGGAGGUUGCAGUGAGCUGAGAUUGUGCCACUGCACUCCAGCCUGGCGACAGAGCAAGACUCCAUCUCAAAAAAUAAAAAAUAAAUUCAAAAUGUAAUAAAGACUUAAAUCUAAGACCUCAAACAUGAAACUACUAUAAGAAAACAUUGGGGAAAACCUCCAGGACAGUAGUCUGGCCAAAAAUUUCUUGAGCAAUACCCCACAAGCACAGGCAACCAAAAUAAAACUGGACAAAUAGUAUCACAUCAAGUUUAAAAGCUUCUACAAAGCAAAGGAUACAAUCAAUAAAGAGACAACCCACAGAAUGGGAGAAAAUAUUUGCAAACUACCCAUCUGACAAAGAAAUAAUAACCAGAGUAUAUAAGAAGCUCAAACAACUCUAUAGUAAAAAAAAAAAAAAAAAAAAUUCUAAAAGUCUAAGUAAAAAAAUGGGCAAAAGAUUUGAAUAGACAUUUCUCAAAAGAAGACAUACAGGCCAUGCGUGGUGGCUCAUGCCUGUAAUCCCAGCACUUUGGGAGGCCCAGGCGGGUGGAUCACUUGAGGUCAGGAGUUCGAGACCAGCCUGACCAACAUUGUGAAACUCCGUCUCUACUAAAAAUACAAAAAUAAGCCAGGCAUGGUGGCGCACACCUGUAAUCCCAGCUACUCAGGAGGCUGAGGCAGGAGAAUCGCUUAAACCUGGGAGACAGAGGUUGCAGUAAGCCGAGAUCACACCACUGCACUCCAGCCUGGGCAACAAAGUGAGACUCCGUCUCACAAAAAAAAAAAAAAAAAAAAAAAAAAAAGAAAAGAAAAAGGAAGAAGACAUACAAAGCCAGGUACAGUGGCUUAUGCCUCUAAUCCUAGCACUUUAGGAGGCCAAGGCAGAUGGAAUUGAGCCCAGAAGUUUGAGACCAGACUGAGCAAUAUGGUCAAACCCCAAUUCUGCAAAAUACAAAAAUAAAAAAUAGCUGGGAGUGGUGGUGCACACCUGUAGUCCCAGCUACUUAGGAAGCUGAGAUGGGAGGAUCACUUGAGCCUGCAGUGAAUCAUAAUUGCACCAAUGCACUCCAGCCUGGGCGACAGAGUGAGAGACAUUGUCUCAAAAAAAAGAAAAAGAAAAAAAAGAAAGGACAUAAAAAUGACAAACAGGCAUAUGAAAAGGUGCUGAUGAUUAUUGAUCCUCAGAGAAAUGCAAAUCAAAACUGCAAUGAGAUAUAAUCUCACCCCAGUUAAAAUGGCUUAUAUCCAAAAGACAGGCAAUAACAAAUGCUGGUGAGGAUGUGGAUAAAAGGGAACCCUCGUACACUGUUGAUGGGAAUGUAAAUUAGUACAACCACUAUGGAUAACAGUUUAGAGGUUCCUCAGAAAACUAAAAAUUGAGUUGCGAUAUGAUGCAACAAUCCUACUGCUGGGUAUAUACCCCACAAAAGACAAAACCAGCGUUUUGCAUGGUGGCUCACACCUGUAAUCCCAGCACUAUGGGAGGCCGAGGAGGGCAGAUCACUUGAGCCCAGAAGUUCAAGACCAGCCCGAGCAACAUGGCAAAACCUGAUUUCUACAAAAUACAAAAAAAAAAUUAGGCAGUUGUAGUGGUUCACACCUAUAGUCCUAGCUACUGUGGAGGCUGAGGUAGGAUCACUUGAACCUAGGAGGUGGAGGUUGCAGUGAGCCAAGAUCAUGCCACUGCACUCCAGCCUGGGUGACAAAGUGUGACCCUGUCUCAAAAAAGAAAAUCAGUAUAUGGAAGAGGUAUCUGCACUCCUAUGUUUUUUACAACACUGUUUACAAUAGCUAAGAUUUGGAAGCAACCUAAAUGUCUAACAGCAGAUGAAUGGAUAAGGAAAAUUUGGUAUGUAUACACAAUGAAGUACUAUUCAGCCAUAAAAAGGAAUGAGAUCCAGUCAUUUGCAACAGCAUGGAUGGAAGUGGAGAUCAUUAUGUUAAAUGAAAUAAGCCAGGCACAGAAAGGCAAACAUGGCAUGUUCUCACUUAUUUGUGGGACCUAAAUUCAAAACAAUUGAACUAAUGGACAUAAAGAGUAGAAGAAUGGUUACCAGAGGCUAGGAAUGGUAGUGGGGGGCUGAAGGGAAGGUGGGGAUGUUUAAUCGGUAAAAAAAAAUUUAGAAGAAUAAGACCUACUAUUUGAUAGCACAAUAGGGGGACUAUAGUCAAUAAUGCACAUUUAAAAAUAGUGUAAUUGAAUGGUUUGUAACUCAAAGGAUAAAUGCUUGAGGGAAUGGAUACCCCAUUCUCCAUGAUGUGCUUAUUUCACAUUGCAUACCUGUAUCAAAACAUCUCAUGUACCCCAUAAAUAUAUGCAGCUAUUAUGUACCCAC
rnacentral:lncRNA from 1 species